CGGAGCGUAGCUCAGCUUGGUAGAGCACCUGCUUUGGGAGCAGGAAGUCGCUGGUUCGAAUCCAGUCGCUCCGACCA
rnacentral:tRNA from 1 species